rnacentral:rRNA from 1 species
GACGAAGGGGGCGAGCGUUGUUCGGAUUUAUUGGGCGUAAAGAGCGUGUAGGCGGCCAGGUAGGUCUGCUGUGAAAACUCGAGGCUUAACCUCGAGAUGUCGGCGGAAACCAUCUGGCUAGAGUCCGGAAGAGGAGAGUGGAAUUCCUGGUGUAGCGGUGAAAUGCGCAGAUAUCAGGAAGAACACCCGUGGCGAAGGCGGCUCUCUGGGACGGUACUGACGCUGAGACGCGAAAGCGUGGGGAGCGAACAGG